AUAGAUAACUUAUGUAAACUAUGAUAAUUGUUUAUUCAUUAACUACUACGAAUAAGUAAAAAUAAAAAUAUCAAACUGCUCAAUCUUCUUUAACCAUGGUUCCAUCACCGAUCAAGUGAUCUAUUUUCCCCUCAAAGUGCUCAAAGAACAUAACAUAUUCAAUUUAUCACAACAUCUAUUACUUUUUAAUUACGAUUUAUGCAAAAAUUAUAUUUAAAUAAUUCUUUCUUCAAAAUUUCCAUGUACAUGUAGUAUCAUUUAAUUAGCAUUUAGUAGGUUCCGUUCAUAUAUGCGUACAAUUACAAACAACAGUUCUAAGAGCAUGAAUUAACAUGUAGUAAGACUUAUCUAUUCAAAGAAAGUAAUGUACUACUACUACAUUAUAAAUCGACAAUUUAAUUAAUAUUAUGUACCACAAUAAAGUGGAUGUUUAUUGUUCUAGAUAUUACUACCAGUAAAA
rnacentral:lncRNA from 1 species